UAUUAUUGUUUACCACUUUAUUUAUACAUUAAUGAGGUUGCUAAGUCUAUGAAUAUUUUUUGUUUCAACACUGAACUUAGCGCACUCUGCUGGUGCACUUGAAAACUAAUUCAUGUUCCAAUUAAGCAUUAGCACGAUGCCGCAUUGUGCGACACUGAGUCCCAUUAUGCUCUGUAAUUGGAAAACGGGGUAGAUAACAGGAGGGCGAUCGCAAUAGACACGGAGGAUAGAUACCAGGAGUCCGAACAAUAUAGGAUUUUUCACAUUUUUUAUGAAUUAUUUUGAUUAAAAAAUGGGAAAGUAUUGUGCCGUUUAUGGUUGCCUUAGUGACCGAAAGGCAAGUGAGAAUUUAGGAAAAGUGGCUUUAUUCAAAGUAUCAAAAAGCUGUCAAUAGCAACAAGACUUCCCGCGUAAGUAUUUAAACGAGUACUCUGUGAAAAGCAGCGCGCCCUACCAGCAAAAUAUCUUGUCCCCUAAAUUGAUACCAUUCU